rnacentral:rRNA from 1 species
GCUAGCAAUGUGCCUCGGCGGUUCAGCCGGUUUGGGGGUGGAGGUCGUCGUUGUCGGAUCCGAAUGGACCGCGGCGGCGGCCGUCCGCACUCGAGCCGCGGUGCACUCUGUCGGGGUACGCGUCAGCGUCGGUUCGCAGUUCAGGCGAUAAGGCACGAAGGGAAGGUAGCUCGUGGCUUGCCAUGAGCAUUAUAGCCCUAUGUGCUGGGUCUGGUGCGGACCGAGGAGAGAGAGGAUCGCUGCAGCGCAUGCCGCAAGGCUAGCUACCCGUUGCUCGGUGUGCUUCACAGGCUGAGGACUGCACGCAGUGUUCGGACUGGCGGAGUGGCCAGGUGGUGGAGUGGUAUAAAUGCGCUUAGGACGCUGGCGUCCAAAUGGCCGUGCGCGACCCGUCUUGAAACACGGACCAAGGAGUCUAACAUGUGCGCGAGUCUUUGGGUGUAGAAACCCGUGGGCGCAAUGAAAGUGAAGGUCCUCUCCGAGGGCUGAGGUGAGAGCCGGUCUUGCGGGAUCGGUGCAUCAUCGACCGGUCUAGUCUUCUCUAAGGUGGAUCCGAGUAAGAGCGUAUUUGUUGGGACCCGAAAGAUGGUGAACUAUGCCUGAAUAGGGUGAAGCCAGAGGAAACUCUGGUGGAGGCUCGUAGCGAUUCUGACGUGCAAAUCGAUCGUCAAAUUUGGGUAUAGGGGCGAAAGACUAAUCGAACCAUCUAGUAGCUGGUUCCCUCCGAAGUUUCCCUCAGGAUAGCUGGAACUCGUACACAGUUUUAUCAGGUAAAGCGAAUGAUUAGAGGUCUUGGGGGUGAAACACCCUCAACCUAUUCUCAAACUUUAAAUAGGUAAGAAGCGUGACUUGCUUGAUUGAAGCCACGCGUUUCAAUGUGAGUUCCAAGUGGGCCAUUUUUGGUAAGCAGAACUGGCGAUGCGGGAUGAACCGAACGCUCGGUUAAGGUGCCAAAGUCGACGCUCAUCAGACCCCAGAAAAGGUGUUGGUUGAUAUAGACAGCAGGACGGUGGCCAUGGAAGUCGGAAUCCGCUAAGGAGUGUGUAACAACUCACCUGCCGAAUCAACUAGCCCUGAAAAUGGAUGGCGCUCAAGCGUCGCACCUAUACCGAGCCGUUGCUGUAAAUGCCAUGCGGCAACGAGUAGGAGGGCGCGGGGGUCGUGACGCAGCCCUUGGCGUGAGCCUGGGUCAAACGGCCUCUGGUGCAGAUCUUGGUGGUAGUAGCAAAUAUUCAAAUGAGAGCUUUGAAGACCGAAGUGGAGAAAGGUUCCAUGUGAACAGCAGUUGGACAUGGGUUAGUCGACCCUAAGAGAUAGGGGAGCUCCGUUCUGAAGUGCGCAAUCCUGCGCCGCCUAUCGAAAGGGAAUCGGGUUAAUAUUCCCGAACCAGAACGCGGAUAUUGGCUUUCGGGCCAGGAGCGGCAACGCAACCGAACUGGGAGACGUUGGCGGGAGCUCCGGGAAGAGUUUUCUUUUCUUUUUAACGGAUCAUCACCCUGGAAUCGGUUUGCCCGGAGAUAGGGUUCACUGGUCCGGUAAAGCAGCACACUUCUUGUGCUGUCCGGUGCGCUCUCGACGGCCCUUGAAAAUCCCAGGGAGUGAUUAAUUUUCGUGUCUGGUCGUACUCAUAACCGCAGCAGGUCUCCAAGGU